UACGUAGGUGGCAAGCGUUGUCCGGAUUUAUUGGGCGUAAAGCGAGCGCAGGCGGAAAGAUAAGUCUGAUGUGAAAGCCCCCGGCUUAACCGAGGAAUUGCAUCGGAAACUGUGUUUCUUGAGUGCAGAAGAGGAGAGUGGAACUCCAUGUGUAGCGGUGGAAUGCGUAGAUAUAUGGAAGAACACCAGUGGCGAAGGCGGCUCUCUGGUCUGUAACUGACGCUGAGGCUCGAAAGCAUGGGUAGCGAACAGG
rnacentral:ncRNA from 2 species